rnacentral:rRNA from 1 species
UACGUAGGGUCCGAGCGUUGUCCGGAAUUACUGGGCGUACAGCGCGCGAAGGCGGCCCGCGAGGUGUCACGUGAAAGCCCCGGGCUCAACCCGGGAGGGUCGUGGCAAACCGGCGGGCUUGAGGCCGGUAGAGGUGGGUGGAACUCCUGGUGGAGUGGUGAAAUGCGUAGAGAUCAGGAAGAACACCCGUGGCGAAGGCGGCCCACUGGGCCGGUACUGACGCUGAGGCGCGAAGGCGUGGGGAGCGAACGGG